rnacentral:rRNA from 1 species
GCCCGCACAAGCGGUGGAGCAUGUGGUUUAAUUCGAAGCAACGCGAAGAACCUUACCAGGUCUUGACAUCCUCUGACAAUCCUAGAGAUAGGACGUCCCCUUCGGGGGCAGAGUGACAGGUGGUGCAUGGUUGUCGUCAGCUCGUGUCGUGAGAUGUUGGGUUAAGUCCCGCAACAAGCGCUACCCUUGAUCUUAGUUGCCAGCAUUCAGUUGGGCACUCUAAGGUGACUGCCGGUGACAAACCGGAGGAAGGUGGGGAUGACGUCAUAUCAUCAUGCCCCUUAUGACCUGGGCUACACACGUGCUACAAUGGACAGAACAAAGGGCAGCGAAACCGCGAGGUUAAGCCAAUCCCACAAAUCUGUUCUCAGUUCGGAUCGCAGUCUGCAACUCGACUGCGUGAAGCUGGAAUCGCUAGUAAUCGCGGAUCAGCAUGCCGCGGUGCAUACGCUCCCGGGCCUUGUACACACCGCCCGUCACACCACGAGAGUUUGUAACACCCGAAGUCGGUGAGGUAACCUUUAGAGCCAGCCGCCGAA